AGCGAACGCUGGCGGCAGGCCUAACACAUGCAAGUCGAACGGAUCCUUCGGGAUUAGUGGCGGACGGGUGAGUAACACGUGGGAACGUGCCCUUUGGUUCGGAACAACUCAGGGAAACUUGAGCUAAUACCGGAUGUGCCCUUCGGGGGAAAGAUUUAUCGCCAUUGGAGCGGCCCGGGUCUGAUUAGCUAGUGUGUAAGGUAAAGGCUAACCAAGGCAACGAUCAGUAGCUGGUCGGAGAGGAUGAUCAGCCACCUUGGGACUGCGACACGGCCCAAACUCCUACGGGAGGAAGCAGUGGGGAAUCUUGCGCAAUGGGCGAAAGCCUGACGCAGCCAUGCCGCGUGAAUGAUGAAGGUCUUAGGAUUGUAAAAUUCUUUCACCGGGGACGAUAAUGACGGUACCCGGAGAAGAAGCCCCGGCUAACUUCGUGCCAGCCGCCGCAGUAAGAC
rnacentral:rRNA from 1 species